rnacentral:piRNA from 1 species
UAGACCAAUAACAGGAUCUGAAGUUGUGG